GAAAAAAAACACGGAUACAGCUCUCCUACCCCACGUCGGGUCAAAUCGAAUGCGGAUCUGGCGAACAGAAAAUUGUCUACACCGUGAUAGACUCGUGGAUUACCGUCUCUCUCGUCCUUCAGUUUUGGCUUACAACCUACUUAUCCUCUUCUUCUCACAAAAGUCUUCCGCAUCUCCACCUUCCUCCGGCGAUCUCUUGCCCAGCCACGGCGGAGAUGGUGCCCAAGCGUGUAUUCAUGGCCAUGUGACAUGGGGAAAGAGAAGGCGGUCGCCGUGAAGGGACCGAGGCUUAGGCCGUGCAUGUGCCCAUGAGACUACAGCGCAUAUGCGAGGGGGCUGAUUCCUUAGGCGUCCAUGGCAUGAACCUUGGUUUAUGCUUCAAGAUCUAAAGCAAUCAUGACAUCGGUAUGAACAUAAAUCGCCCAACUUAAAUGAGAUUCGCCCUGACGGAGCUUUGAAUUAACUCUUUCCUGAUGAACUCCGGCGAGCUCUUUUGCAUGAAGCCGACGUGGCCGUGAGGAUGUCCGUGAGCCGUGCAUCUUCCUCUCGGAAUUCCUCUCCUCCUCUGGAAAGUCCUGCCCAACUCCACAUAGCUUCCUCCGGUGAGCUCUUGCUCAGCCACGGCCGAGGCGACCGGGAUGAAAGUCCCAAGGCAUAUGCUUGACGUUCAUGUGACAUGGAGAAUGAGAGGCUGUGCCGGACUAUGUAUGUUGGUUGUCCUCUGGACCUCUUUCUUCUAGUGAAUCCCCGGCGAGUCCUGUUCAUGCCCGGCGAGGUGGCUGAGAUGGUGUCCGAGGCAUAGGCCCGUGCAUGUGCCUCUGGGGCUACGGCGCGCAAGUCACGAGGCUGAAUCCUCAAGUGUUCAAUGGGACGAACCAGAGUUUAUGGAGACGGGAGAGGAGGCACAGUGGUCCAAGUCAAUAAUCAACCGUUGCCACGGCAACUCACGGCUUGAAGAGGCUCGACAGAUGCAUGAUUAGUUCUUGUUCCAAGAUAUUUGCCUUGUCAAGCCAAUUCAGGGAUGUAAGUCUGUUGGCAAAGACGCUCCUUCUGGAAGCCUGCCCGAUGAACAACUUGAGGCUGAGUGCAGAGAGGUGCUGCGUGUCUCUUAUCUGAUUCCAGGCCACCCGGUGCCUGACCAUGGAUUGAUUGAAACACGCGUGGGUGAUGUCACGAUGUGCAUACUGAGUGGCUAAUUGAAGAUGGCAAAUGUUCUGCUAUCUGGUCUCCGUGGAGCAAAACAGCUGGGGCAGAACUUCAGAUCUGCAUGCAGGUCUCUUUCAUCAGGACAAUUGGUCGAGCCCGGCUAUGUCUUCGGUCGUAAAUGUUUUGGGCCAGAUUACGGGGUUACCACCUCUGUUGGUCAAUAUGGACUGCCCAAGUCUGUGGACUGGAGAAAAGUCCCAUGGCUUAAAAUCCCAGUGAAAGAUCAGCGUGGCUGUGGUAACUGCUAUAUUCAGGCAUCUCUUGUUGGUAUUGGGAGUCUUCAUUCCAUCAUAACUGGAAUAAACGUCGAACUUUCUAGCCAGCAUGUUCUUGAUGCGAAUACUAUAACUAAUUCUGGAUGCAUGGGAGGCACAAUACCAAAGGUCUUCGACUUUGUCAUGAGGGGUGGAGUAGUCCUAGAAUCUGCUUAUCCAUAUACUGGGAAGAGGGGCUUUUGCCAGGAUAUUAAGGCUAAAGGUCUUACUAUUGAGGGUUGGGCACAAGUCGCUCCAGCAGAAGAAGCUCUCAUGUAUGCUGUGGCCCAUCAGCCAGUUGCCGUUGGAGUAGCUGCUGGGACAGAGUUUGAAAAUUAUCAAUAUGGCGUUAUGAAUGUCCCAGUAGACCAUGGAAUUUUAAAUCAUGCAAUGUUAUUGAUUGGAUAUAAUGCCACUUCUUGGCUACUUCUGAAUUCAUGGAGUGAGGCAUGGGGCAUUAAAGGUGCUUGUCGGAUCCUGAGGAAAUCGCCAAAUUCUGAUGGAUCUAUUGGAAUUUUAUCUAGGGCCUAUCUCCCCCUAAAUCCAUCUUUCACAACUGUCAGAACGAGAACAGAAAGUUGCCCUUGUUAUUGGUCCAGGACGGUGAGAAAUCUCCUUGAACGAAUGGUGCCAAGACAGAUAACAGAGCACUUUUUGCCGAAGUUUAUGGCCGUGGAUAAGUGCUGGAUUACUGUUAGUUACCUUUAUGCAUGAUUGUGGAUUGGACCACUAGUAUUUCAUACGAUGUGCUAGGAGCUCUCGUAAUUCGACAUUUGUUUCAAGUUGGAGUCUGGUUUGGCCUGUGUUGGCACAUUUUGGCAAAGUUGGACUUUGGUUUGGCCUAUGUAGACUGAGUUUUUGCUGCUUGGUAUGUGGUGCAGUGUAUGAUCCUUCGUGAUCAGGUUGUAAUAUUCUGGGAGUCGAUCCUUGCUAGUAGUUUGUUUAUGAUCUGGACCAUGUGGUUUCUAUAAUGGAAUUCUAAAGGCUUCUCUUUCAUUAAAGUAAAAAGAAAUGUGGUUUCU
rnacentral:rRNA from 1 species